ensembl:lncRNA
CUGGAAGGCUGCUAGGGUGCCUGGGAGUGCAACACCAAGGAGCAUCUGACUUGAAGAUCCAUUUGCAGACAUCUCAGUCAAAAAAAUUUUAUUACCUCCGGCACACUGCAGAACUGUUUGAUUCAUUUGUUCAGAAUUUACUGUGAAUACUGCAGGGACUGCUUUGAUACAGAAGAAGACAGGGCAAUGCAGCAGAGAAGAAGGCUGCCUGUUUGUCCAGGACACUCUGGGGCAGGUGGAAACUUCGAGAAAGGAGAGGUCAGAAAGGUAAAACUUCAGACUGAGGUUAAAUUGUUGAGAUGGGAACAGUGAGCACAUUAAUGCUCACCUAUUAGCUUCGCAUUGUGCAUAUUAACCAACGAAUGUUUGUUUUGUUUUGUAUUGUUAACUACUAGACUGCUUGCAAAUUUUCUUUGCUCAUAGUAGAAGUUACUCAAAGCGAUUGAAAGCCGCAGAAUGUUGCCUGGCUGAAAAACAGAGCUAAAGAAAAGGACUUGACCAUGUAUGGGGACAGAACAUGUUCAUUUUUACUAUGUAUCUACAAGGUUUUCUGACCACACCACAAUUAAAGAAGAUAUGGUGCCAGGCUCUGUAAGGGUAGAAUCUACUUGACUCUAUGUAUGGGAACUGUUGAAUCACGGCCUGAACCUCUGAUUGACCACCUGAGGCAAGCUCUGAAUCAGCUGCAGUGGCACAGGUGAACGCAAUUUCACCUGAGUGACCGGGCCUCCUAGACCCCACUUAAAGGCUGACUCCCAGGGAGGAUGGGUCUCUAUCUGGAGAUUGCUCCUUUUGGAGCCCUUCCAUGAGCCCAGGAUACAGCUUCUAGCAACACCUUUAAUGGAAAAAUACAGAGAAAACACAAAAGACCAUUGAUGAAAAUGGUGACUGCAUGAAUUACAGCCUUCAUGAGAAAGCUGAAGAGAUUUGGUGAUGUCUGUAGCUUCUUGCUACAGAAGCACCUGCCCAGCCUGAGCAUGGAGCAAAGAAUUACAAGACACAAACCUUGAUUCAGACAGUGAUCUUUGUUCAGACCAACAAUCUGUGCAUGUUUCAAGGAAUUUUCCUUGAGCAAGUGUUUUAAAAUUUUAUGGAAUAACACCAUGUACAAUUACUGUGUCCUGGAAGCUGCAGCUUUGGAUGCAGGAUGGAACAUUGCAGAGAAAAAACAAGCUUGGAUUAUCAUCAUUCUGCACAAGUGAUGAAUUGAAUGCUCAUGGUUGCUGCUCUUUCUUCAGCUGGGAAGAAGGGAAGGCUGCUUUGUUUGCAUUGUGCAUCUGUAUAUAUUUUUUCUUUCUUGAGAGACCAUCGUUGCACUACGAAUUACUGGGAUCCUAUAUAUCACUCUUUGGACUUAGAAAAACAAACAACCAAAAAACCUGACAACAAUACAACAUAAGAAAACUGACAUUUUUUCAGCUCAUCAGUAUCAUUCUGAAAUCUAAUUCUGCCCUCCGAAAAUCUUGUAGCCUCUCUGGAUCUGUAUGAUCAACAAGAGCACUACAAAAUCAAAUGCUAUUUAUAUAUAUUUUUAAACAUAGGUCACUCCAAAAGUAAUGCCUCGUAUUUAUUUCCAUGGAAACUACAACAGACACGAAGAGCACAAUAACACUGGUUGAUAGAGCAAGUUAUCAUCUACAAAACGCUCUUUUUCAGCACAGUCACCACCACUAGCUCAGCAUUUUUGCCCACAAUGAACAAGAGCCUGCAAGCUGCCCUUGUCAAAAUCUGUACUAGUGAAGGUGACCCGUUGUCACCAAUGCUGAAAUGCACUACUUACCAUCUCACUGUGCUUGCAUACACUGUUUGGUCUCCAUAAACAUUCAGAAAGCAUCGAUGAAUAUCAAUGGGUGCCAUAUUUUCCACAUGGAGGAAUUCCGUACAAACCACAUUCUCAUCACCCUCCCUUCAGCAACCAUUCCCUUCCUGCUUCAGAUGAACAUUUCACUACACCCACCCUUCCCACCUUGGCCCUUCACCUGAACAGCCAUGUGUUUAAGACACUGUUGUCCGUUUAUCUCAAAUUCACUAAUUUCCCUGCUCACUAUCAAAACACCUUGCAUUUUUGCAGUUGUUAAUGUGAAUCGAUUUCUGCUAUGUGCUUGUUUUACAUAAAUAAUUUUAAAAAUAUUAACCUAUAGAAUAGUUCUUGUCAUUGUUCUAAGAACUCCGCUAAUCAUUACUCAGAUUAAUUUGCACUGUGAGCCUUCAAGCUGUUGUAAUCAUCUCAUUCUUCACAUUUAGAUAAGGGCACCACUGAUGGCAUUAAAAGGUCAGUAGAACUUGUAAGAGGACAUCUUUUCCAUGACUUUUUUUCCUUCUAGUGAGACUUACACUGUCACUUAAUAGUAUUAUAAGCAUCUGGGGGGUAGUUUUAUUAUUACAUUCAAGGACAUCAUAAAGGUGAAAAAAAAAAAAAGUCCAAGUCUAUAUCCAGAAGAGUGCACUAAGGGUACAGCCAUAUUAUUUAAACAGCAACGUUAUCAUUACCCAAACCUAUUUCCUCUUUCUACUCAAAUUUUAAAAUAAGCUAGAAAAUAUUCCUACAAAAUUGUUUUGCAAAGAGCAAAGACUAUUUGUUGUGUUCAAGAACUGAUCAAUAGCAACUUAUACUCUAAGAAACACAAAUUCUUACUUCAUGCUAGUUUAAUAGGAAAUAGGGAGGGCCUGGUCCACUGUCACUCACUGAACAAAUAAGCUUAAUACAUAAUUAGUAAAAGUGCUUGC